AUUGAACGCUGGCGGCAUGCUUUACACAUGCAAGUCGAACGGUAACAGGGUGCUUGCACCGCUGACGAGUGGCGAACGGGUGAGUAAUGCGUCGGAACGUGCCGAGUAGUGGGGGAUAACGCAGCGAAAGUUGUGCUAAUACCGCAUACGUACUGAGGUAGAAAGUGGGGGACCUUCGGGCCUCACGCUAUUCGAGCGGCCGACGUCUGAUUAGCUAGUAGGUGAGGUAAAGGCUCACCUAGGCGACGAUCAGUAGCGGGUCUGAGAGGAUGAUCCGCCACCCGGGGACUGAGACACGGCCCAGACUCCUCCGGGCGGCAGCAGUGGGGAAUUUUGGACAAUGGGCGAAAGCCUGAUCCAGCCAUGCCGCGUGUCUGAAGAAGGCCUUCGGGUUGUAAAGGACUUUUGUCGGGGAGGAAAUCCCCAGCGUUAAUACCGCUGGGGGAUGACAGUACCUGAAGAAUAAGCACCGGCUAACUACGUGCCAGCCGCCGCGGUAAAAC
rnacentral:rRNA from 1 species